CUUGUUUAUGGCCAUGACUGCACCAAACAAAUCAAUUCAUUUUAUCUAAACUAAUAAAUAUCAACACAAGUUUCUGUCAAGAGCUUUUUUUGAACGAGUAGGUAGAUAUGUACUCAUUUUCCGUUAAUGUGGAGGCCCGCCUUGUACUGUGCUAAAUAAGUUAAAUGUAUAAUAGUAGGAGUUAAUAAAAUGGUGCGGUAUACUUGUAUAAAUAUAAUAAAUAAUAUAGAUAUUUUUAUAUUUAUUGAAACUCGCAAAACUCGACUCGUUUAGACAUCUUUCCUCUAUCUACAAUCUUUUCCGACAACUAUACCGUACCGUACGUUUACCUCCUUUCAUAGAGUAACGUGGCAAAUAAAAAUGUAGAUGCUCAAAAAUACCAUAUCCCUAAAUGUAAGGUGCAUACCGGGAAUGAAGGCGUAAAGGGUCUAGAAACUUUAAAUCGAAUUAUUACUCUAAUAUUUAGAGUUUCUAGUCUACUUAAAUUUAGAAAAUAAUUUAUUAUUAGUUGUGAUAUUUAUGACAAGUAACGCGGUGGAGACUGCGAUAGUUCCAAAUGAGUGCAAUCUGGUACGGACUGUAUGUAUUACUGUAGUUAGAGAAGACGUUUUAAUGCAUUUAUUUAUACGCGAGACUGGCUGGUUGCAUUUGGAAACCUAACUACUUACCUACUCGAAAAUAGUGACGUUUGUUGCUAGAGAAUUGAUAAAAAUCUAGACAUGCUGGCUGCAUGCUGUCCUAUGUUUUAGUUAAAAUUAAGUAUUUAUUAAUUGAAUUCAGGCUAAGGAUUACGCUUACAUUUUUGGCACUUUUUGUAAAAUAGUUAAUGUUGAUUAGCGGGCUAAGAUUAAGUACCUUUAUAAGCUUGUGAAUAAGCCGUGUUUUCAAAUGCAACCCGCGUUCUCUUAAUUUAAGUAACUUCAGUUAACUUGAGACAACUUGUGGCGUACUUAAAAGUUCGUUGAAACGUACUUAUGCUUGUAGAAGUUCAUCAGAAGUUUUCUCCAAUAUUGCGUGCAGUAAGAAAGUUGAUAAGUUGUAUUGAAGUGGACAAGCUCUCUGAUAAGAAAACUUCUCGCCAAGUUUCAAAGUUACUUAAGUAGAUACUUAUCAAGAAAUAUUACUUUCUCUAUAUUCAAUUGUUAUUGUUUUAUUACAAAAGUGUAUCUAUUACUUUGGGAUUUUCGGGCGCCCUACUGUAACG